rnacentral:rRNA from 1 species
GACGAACGCUGGCGGCGUGCCUAAUACAUGCAAGUCGAACGCAGGGGGGACGGGUGAGUAACACGUGGGUAACCUCCCAUCAGAGGGGAUAACACUUGGAAACAGGUGCUAAACCGAUACUGAUGUAUGGACUCGCGGUGCAUUAGCUAGUUGGGGGGGUAACGGCUUACCAAGGCCACGAUGCAUAGCCGACCUGAGAGGAUGAUCGGCCACACUGGGACUGAGACACGGCCCAGACUCCUACGGGAGGCAGCAGUGGGGAAUAUUGGGCAAUGGACGAAAGUCUGACCGAGCAACGCCGCGUGAGUGAAGAAGGUUUUCGGAUCGUAAAACACUGUUGUUGGGGAAGCGGUAUCUAACCAAAAAGCAACGGCUAACUACGUGCCAGCAGCCGCGGUAAUAC